rnacentral:rRNA from 1 species
GAUGAACGCUGGCGGCGUGCCUAAUACAUGCAAGUCGAGCGAACAGACGAGGAGCUUGCUCCUCUGACGUUAGCGGCGGACGGGUGAGUAACAAGUGGAUAACCUACCUAUAAGACUGGGAUAAAUUCGGGAAACCGGAGCUAAUAACGGAUAAUAUAUUGAACCGCAUGGUUCAAUAGUGAAAGACGGUUUUGCUGUCAAUGAUAGAUGGAUCCGCGCCGCAUUAGCUAGUUGGUAAGGUAACGGCUUACCAAGGCAACGAUGCGUAGCCGACCUGAGAGGGUGAUCGGCCACACUGGAACUGAGACACGGUCCAGACUCCUACGGGAGGCAGCAGUAGGGAAUCUUCCGCAAAGGGCGCAAGCCUGACGGAGCAACGCCGCGUGAGUGAUGAAGGUCUUCGGAUCGUAAAACUCUGUUAUUAGGGAAGAACAAAUGUGUAAGUAACUAUGCACGUCUUGACGGUACCUAAUCAGAAAGCCACGGCUAACUACGUG